GCACUGUAGUAAAGAAAGGUGGGCACUGUAGUAAAGAAAGGUGGGCACUGUAGUAAAGAAAGGUGGGCACUGUAGUAAAGAAAGGUGGGCACUGUAGUAAAGAAAGGUGGGCACUGUAGUAAAGAAAGGUGGGCACUGUAGUAAAGAAAGGUGGGCACUGUAGUAAAGAAAGGUGGGCACUGUAGUAAAGAAAGGUGGGCACUGUAGUAAAGAAAGGUGGGCACUGUAGUAAAGAAAGGUGGGCACUGUAGUAAAGAAAGGUGGGCACUGUA